rnacentral:sRNA from 1 species
UAAUAUUUUUGGAUUUAUAAUUGUAAUAUUAAAUCAUUGGCUUACAUCCAGUCUAAAAAUAAGGAUUUUCUGCAAAAUAACCCUCCAAGUCAAUAUCGUUUGCAAGUUUACCCUCCAAGUCUGAAUUAUGCAAGUCAACUCCACCAUCUCUAAACUCACCCGCAAUACAACCCUCCCGAGUAUCGAUGACGUGGCACUCGAUAACUCCGUUUGAAAACAUUAGGAUUUUGUGCAAAAAACCUUCAAUGUAAAUUUUAUUUUGCAAGAUAAACCUCCAUGUCAAAUUAAUAAAAGUCAAACCACAAUCUGAAAAAUCUCCUACAACAUAACUCUUUCGUGUAUCGAUGACGUGACAGUCGAUAACCCAUUUAGAGAUUUUAUAAGUCUAUGGAAUAUAUUACUUUAAUGCAUAUAAUUUAAUUGAGGUAUUGGUUUAAGUUUUAAAUAAAAUAAAACCGAACCAAAUAACCAAACGGUUAACCAAAUAUCCAGAAACUUAGAAAAUAUCCAAAAUUAAUACCCAUAACUAUAAGGGUAACUAUAAUUAUAAACUCAAAAUAU